rnacentral:rRNA from 1 species
UACGUAGGGUGCGAGCGUUAAUCGGAAUUACUGGGCGUAAAGCGUGCGCAGGCGGUUCGUUGUGUCCGAUGUGAAAGCCCCGGGCUUAACCUGGGAACUGCAUCUGAUACUGGAUGGCUUGAGUUCGGGAGAGGGAUGCGGAAUUCCAGGUGUAGCGGUGAAAUGCGUAGAUAUCUGGAGGAACACCGGUGGCGAAGGCGGCAUCCUGGACCGACACUGACGCUGAGGAGCGAAAGCCAGGGGAGCAAACGGG